rnacentral:rRNA from 1 species
UGGGUAAUCUACCCUCGGUUCUGGGAUAGCCCGGGGAAACCCGGAUUAAUACCGGAUAGCCUCUUGAGCCUUCGGGUUCUUGAGAAAAGGUAGCUUCGGCCUCCGACUGAGGAUGAGCCCGCGGCGGAUUAGCUUGUUGGCGGGGUAACAGCCCACCAAGGCUUCGAUCCGUAGCUGGUCUGAGAGGACGAUCAGCCACACUGGGACUGAGACACGGCCCAGACUCCUACGGGAGGCAG